rnacentral:tRNA from 2 species
GCGCCCAUAGCUCAGCUGGUAGAGCAGCUCGCUCUUAACGAGACGGUCGGAGGUUCGAAUCCUCCUGGGCGCACAA